rnacentral:rRNA from 1 species
GACAGAGGUGGCAAGCGUUGUUCGGAAUUACUGGGCGUAAAGGGCGCGUAGGCGGCCAUCUAAGUCAGACGUGAAAUCCCCCGGCUUAACCUGGGAACUGCGUCUGAUACUGGACGGCUUGAGUAUGGGAGAGGGAUGUAGAAUUCCAGGUGUAGCGGUGAAAUGCGUAGAUAUCUGGAGGAAUACCGGUGGCGAAGGCGGCAUCCUGGACCAUUACUGACGCUGAGGCGCGAAAGCUAGGGGAGCAAACGGG